rnacentral:rRNA from 1 species
GACGAACGCUGGCGGCGUGCUUAACACAUGCAAGUCGAACGAGUCCACCCUUUCGGGGGUGAGGCGAGUGGCGGACGGGUGCGUAACACGUGAGCAACCUGUCCCUGUGCGGGGGACAACCCGGGGAAACCCGGGCUAAUACCGCAUGGGCCGGCACCUCGAGUGGGGCGCCGGGGAAAGACGGCCUCCUCACAAUGCUGUCGCGCAGGGAGGGGCUCGCGGGCUAUCAGCUUGUUGGUAGGGUAAUGGCCUACCAAGGCUGCGACGGCUAGGGGGUCUGAGAGGACGACCCCCCACAUUGGAACUGAGACACGGUCCAGACUCCUACGGGAGGCAGCAGUGGGGAAUUUUGGGCAAUGGCCGAAAGGCUGACCCAGCGACGCCGCGUGCGGGAGGACGCUUUUCGGAGUGUAAACCGCUGUCAGAGGGGAAGAAACGUCGGGUGGUGAACAGUCACCCGGCCUGACGGUACCCUCAAAGGAAGCACCGGCUAACUCUGU